UACAGAGGUCUCAAGCGUUGUUCGGAUUCAUUGGGCGUAAAGGGUGCGUAGGCGGCGGGGCAAGUCGGAUGUGAAAUCUCAGGGCUCAACCCUGAAACUGCAUUCGAUACUGCUCUGCUCGAGGACUGGAGAGGAGACUGGAAUUUACGGUGUAGCGGUGAAAUGCGUAGAUAUCGUAAGGAAGACCAGUGGCGAAGGCGGGGUCUCUGGACAGACACCGACGCUGAGGCACGAAAGCUAGGGGAGCAAACAGG
rnacentral:rRNA from 1 species